GAUUGCGGCGACGUGGGCGGUUCGCUGCCCGCGACGUUGUGAGAAGUCCACUGAACCUUAUCAUUUAGAGGAAGGAGAAGUCGUAACAAGGUUUCCGUAGGUGAACCUGCGGAAGGAUCAUUG
rnacentral:rRNA from 1 species